rnacentral:rRNA from 1 species
CCUACGGGAGGCAGCAGUGGGGAAUUUUGGACAAUGGGCGCAAGCCUGAUCCAGCAAUGCCGCGUGAGUGAAGAAGGCCUUCGGGUUGUAAAGCUCUUUUGUCAGGGAAGAAACGGUGAGAGCUAAUAUCUCUUGCUAAUGACGGUACCUGAAGAAUAAGCACCGGCUAACUACGUGCCAGCAGCCGCGGUAAUACGUAGGGUGCAAGCGUUAAUCGGAAUUACUGGGCGUAAGGCGUGCGCAGGCGGUUUUGUAAGUUUGUCGUGAAAUCCCCGGGCUCAACCUGGGAAUGGCGAUGAAGACUGCAAGGCUAGAGUUUGGCAGAGGGGGGUAGAAUUCCACGUGUAGCAGUGAAAUGCGUAGAUAUGUGGAGGAACACCGAUGGCGAAGGCAGCCCCCUGGGUCAAAACUGACGCUCAUGCACGAAAGCGUGGGGAGCAAACAGGAUUAGAUACCCUGGUAGUCCACGCCCUAAACGAUGUCUACUAGUUGUCGGGUCUUAAUUGACUUGGUAACGCAGCUAACGCGUGAAGUAGACCGCCUGGGGAGUACGGUCGCAAGNUUAAAACUCAAAGGAAUUGACGGCUGAGAGNGCGACGGACGACGACGAGGGAGGAGG